rnacentral:tRNA from 1 species
GCGAGGGUAGCCAAGUCUGGUCAAAGGCGCAAGGCUUAGGACCUUGUCGGUUAGUCCGUUCGUCGGUUCAAAUCCGGCCCCUCGCA